GUAUGAACAUGAGUUACAUGAAUGGUUCCUGAGGAUACCUCAGAGGACAUUAGUCCAAGCCCUAUAGUUUUAGUGCUUUUAAAGACCAAACAUUGACACAACCUUCUCCAAAUCAUUCAGAUUUACAGCACAGAGGGAUGACAUUCAGCCCCUUGAAUCCAUCCUGGCCAUCAAAGAACCAUCCAGCCUUCCCCUACUUCCAGCUCUUGGUUCAAGGACAACUACUUCCCUUCAACCAUUUGGUUCCUGAACCAACUUGCACAACCCUAAUCACUACCUCAGUAAUAGCAACCCACUGACCACUUCGCAGUCCGAUGGACUUUGUUUUUUUUGUUCUAAUUUCGCUCUUUCUUGUAUAAUUUUGUAUAUGUUGGAUUUAUGCUUUUCCCAUGAAUGUUGGUUCUCUAAUGCUAUGUGCCUGUGAUGCUGUUGCAUGCAAGUUUUUCAUUGCACCUGUGCAUACAUGUACUAAUGCAUAUGACAAUAAACUCACCUUUGACUUUGAAGGUAUUUUACUUAAACAAUUGUUAUCUCUCAGAAAAUCUGAGACAGAUUUAUCCAUUGUUAUUU